GAUGAACGCUGGCGGCGUGCCUAAUACAUGCAAGUCGAGCGAACAGACGAGGAGCUUGCUCCUCUGACGUUAGCGGCGGACGGGUGAGUAACACGUGGAUAACCUACCUAUAAGACUGGGAUAACUUCGGGAAACCGGAGCUAAUACCGGAUAAUAUAUUGAACCGCAUGGUUCAAUAGUGAAAGACGGUUUUGCUGUCACUUAUAGAUGGAUCCGCGCCGCAUUAGCUAGUUGGUAAGGUAACGGCUUACCAAGGCAACGAUGCGUAGCCGACCUGAGAGGGUGAUCGGCCACACUGGAACUGAGCCACGGUCCAGACUCCUGCGGGAGGCAGCAGUAGGGAAUCUUCCGCAAUGGGCGAAAGCCUGACGGAGCAACGCCGCGUGAGUGAUGAAGGUCUUCGGAUCGUAAAACUCUGUUAUUAGGGAAGAACAAAUGUGUAAGUAACUAUGCACGUCUUGACGGUACCUAAUCAGAAAGCCACGGCUAACUACGUG
rnacentral:rRNA from 1 species